rnacentral:rRNA from 1 species
AUUGAACGCUGGCGGCAUGCCUAACACAUGCAAGUCGAGCGGAGGAAGGGGGCUUUCUCCUGGUUGCAGCGGCGGACGGGUGAGUAAUGCCUAGGAAUAUGCCUGGUAGUGGGGGAUAACGUCCGGUAACGGGCGCUAAUACCACAUCCGACCAGAGGGAGAAAGAGGGGGUUCUUUGGACAUCACGAUAUCAGAUGAGACUAGGUCGGAUUAGCUAGUUGGUGGGGUAAAGGCCUACCAAGGCGACGAUCCGUAACUGGUCUGAGAGGACGAUCAGUCACACGGGAACUGAGACACGGUCCAGACUCCUACGGGAGGCAGCAGUGGGGAAUAUUGGAAAAUGGGCGAAAGCCUGACGCAGCCAUGCCGCGUGUGUGAGGAAGGUCUUCGGAUUGUAAAGCACUUUAAGUUGGGAGGAAGGGCAGUAAGUUAAUACCUUCAUGUUUUGACGGUACCUAAACAAAAAGCAACGGCUAACUUCGUG